UUUAGUUUCACAGUAUGUCAAAGUAAUCCAUACUAUUUAGUUUUCCAUUUGAAAAUUCUGCAAAAAAAAUUGCUGAUUUAGCCAAAAUACUCUCACAAAAUUUUUGUCUCAAACAUUCCUACAUAGCCAAGAAAAAUAUCCUCAAGUCGGAUAUAGUCAUUAUUGUGAACUAGUAUAAAUUCUUUCUCUAAAAACGGCAUAUGCAGAAGGGAAAAUUAUGAAAAGGGAGUGGUUCACCUUGUUGUUGGAGAUGUAUAGUAAUUAGGCCGAGUCAAAUAUUAUCUUUCAUAUUAAUAUGCAUCAGUAAAAUUUUCAAUAUUUUUUUCAUUGACUUGUGAUUCAUUGACUCAGAUAAUCUGUGUUUUUAGAUUACUGCUAUACCACUGAAUAAUUGAGUCACCGCAGCUAAUUGAGAUAUAAGUGCAUACUUCGCUCAAGCUAAAAUCAUAUUAAAUCAGAAUAUUCCAUGUAAUUUUUGAGGCUCCCCCCCCCCCUUAAGUCGUUUUUAGCCUUCAAAUAUUUGUCAAUUCAUUGGCUUUUUUAAAUUUUUUCUUAAAAUCUUAUUUUAUUUCUUUAUUUUGGGCACAAUACUUUAUCACUACUCCCACUCUAUCUUUUCCCCUCUAAAAGUGUUGGAAGUCAUUUCCUAUGAUUUAUCAAUAGCCUCAUAUUUCUCGCUUCAGUGCAAUAGAUAGAUGUAACUGUCUGUGUCUCUUGUAUUUGUGUCUCACAUGUAGUUCAGUGCUUUUUUUAAUCAUAAACUGUGAUCGCAUGCUUAUUCAUUUCAGAUCAGUAUUGGCUGCAGGCAUGAAAAAACCUCUUAUUACUGCUGAUAGAUCCUCCAAGUUAUUGAAACAGGAGGCAUGCAGUAGAUUUUCAAUGGAGCCGAAUGAAUUUUUCAAUGUGCCGAGUCUGCCUGGUGGCUCACCCGGGGUGUUACCACAUUCUAGAAAAUUGUCACCAGCCAGUCACCCGUUUCAUGCAGAAUCCAAUUCAUCUUUGCAGGCCCAGUUGGCGAGUAUCUCUCAGGCCUUAAUUAAUAAAACUCCUAUCACAAUGCAUCAAUUACUCUCUUUAAGAAGCUGCUAUGAGGUACUUGAUCUUUCUGUUGUUUUUAGUAUUGCUGAUUUUUGAUUGAUAUUAAGUGUCUGUCUUGUCAGUAGGCUCCAUUUUUGCACUGAUUAUUUGAUGAUCCUUCCUUGCAAAGUUUUCUAAAAUUUAACCAUGAAUGGAGCAUUAAGGUGAAAUAAUACAGUAAAGCAUUAAGCAAAUAAGUAUCCAGUAAACCCUGGAUGACACUGCCAGUCUUCCAUCCGAAUUAUGUUAAGUAUACCUUCCUUUUAUUUUGUAAAAGUUGAUUCGUGAACUUGUUGCUCCAAUUGUUUUGUUCGUGAACUUUUCUAGAAAAAGUAUGUUUAUUCACAUAGAGCCUGAAUUCGUUUCUGAUAAAGCGGAUAAGUAUUUGCACUGUUGUGGAAAUUUCUGUCAAAAAACCAGUUGGAAUAUUUGUCUCUGGUGAAAGUCUCUGAAUGACAUUCCUCUCAUUCAGGCCAAUGUACAUUAUUUAUGUCGAAGUCCUAUUAGUUUUUAUUUCUCCAUUAUUUUGACUGGUGAUUUUUAUUUAUAUUUUAGUAACUGAUAGCACCACUUAUUUUACAUUGUUUGUCACUUACCUCUUUAUUCCAGCAAACUGAUACCCAAAACAAACAUUUGAUUGAUACUCUGUGCGUGGAACUACAACAGUCACAUCUCACAGCCAAAAAUUAGGAAAAUUAGAUCCUAAACUUCAAGUUUUUUAUCCUCAAUGUGAGUCUUAGUUUAAUUUCUUUAUCUUUCAGUAAUCAGGAAGCUAUCAGCACUUGUGAAAAGUUGAAAUAUUUUUGAACAGUGUAAUAUAUAAACAAGAUUUGGUAUUUAUUACACCUGCCUUUUGAUUACCAUGUCUUACACCAGAAAAAAUCCAUGGAAAAGACUUUUUAGCUAGUUCCUUAUUGGACUAAUACUAAUACUAUAAUAAUCUUCCAACAAUUUUCUGUUCAUAUCCUCCUCUUGUGUAUCAGCAGAAAAAGCUUAUUUCUCCCUUUACUGACUCUCCCCUAAUUUAUUUUGAGGAGUUUUACUGUUACUAAAAUGAGGCAGAAAUCGUACAUAUUUCUUCAUUGCAAAAUGUAGUCCAAAUAUCCAGGAAAAGAAGCUAGUUUGCAUGGACUGAUUUUAAUUCAGUUGUGUAGACGCAGGAAUGCAAUCGGAUUAUCAGUCAAUUCUUUUAAAUUUAGGUUCAUUAGACUCAUUAUUUUAGUUGAUUAUUUACACUUUACAACUCUUUUUUUUUUUUUGUUUGCCUAUUUUAAAUAUUUGAUGAGAAUUUUUCUUCUUUAAUACUUUGCCGUUUGUUUUGUUGUGUCCUUGAAUCAAUCAAAAUAUAUUAAUUGAUGGGUUAUGUGAAUAUUCUGAAAACUUAGCUUCCAUUAGAGGGAGUGAAAAUUAAGUAGUUCAGAAAAAUUAGGAUGGGGGAGGGGCCAAGUUUGAAAACAUGUCAGUUGUCCUAAUUUUUCAGUGCCAUAUUUUAACGCUGUAUAUUUCUGCAAGUUAGUCAUAGAAACAGGGGAGAGGUAAAAGGUAGACAAUAUUUAUUCUCUUUUUAGUAUGAUGAUCUUUGUCUCCAAUAUUGAAAAUAGUGGUGUUUUGAAAUGCUCAUGUCAAAUCUAGCCUGUGGAAGCAGUUAUUUGAGAGCCUCUCGGAAGUUAAACUUUCGAUAAUUUUCAGCACCAUCAAAAAAUGUAUACGACUCAGAAACUCAGUGAAAUUCUGUCACUGACAAAAGAAAUGCACUUGUAUGCAAUCUAAGGCUUUUUGUCAAAGUUACAUGAAUGAAAUUUGCUUUCUUUCACAGCAAAGAGUUCACAGACUACUCUCUUCUCUCAUCAAAUAGAUCCUAUAAUUUGCUUUUAUCAAUUAUUUCGACUUUAAUCUGGAUCACAAAUAAUUGAAGCCUAACAUGUAAAUCGCCUAUGAAUUUUUUUUCCUUGCACCAAAGUGAUGAUUUUUCGACUUGACCGUGUAAAUCAUCCCCUUAAUAUUCCAUCUGAGCGUUUUUCCAUCUUUACAUAUUAUGCUCUUAUUCAGGAGAGGAGUGAAAUUCUUCAAUGUUUAAAAACAUGAUGCGAAAAUAUCUUUCAUUGUUUUAAAAUUAUUACGUUUAUUUCUCAAGGUCUAGACUAUGGUGGUGAUUCGAACAGUCAAGCAGUGUACACCAGCAAUAUGGCAAUGCGGCAAAGUCUUUCAAAUUUAGCUUCAGACAAAGUUCGCUCCGCACUGAGUUCUUUGUUGAAGAAUGCUAAUUUACCUGCUCUCGUUCCGAAUGGCAAUGCAGGUAAGUUGUGAGCUUUUUGAGGUUGUGUUCUUUUCAGGAUGGCAAUUUUGUUUUGAGUUUUUGAGACCUAUGUUUUUCCUUUUUCCCUCUUUCCAUUUUCAAAUAUAUUUCAAAUGUAUUUUUCCCCCCUUUUUUUUUUCAUACCUUGACUAGCUGGACAAGACUUCAAACAAAUUAGUCACUCAAAAAGUAGGUGUGUAAAAAAAAACAAAGCUUAACAGAGAAAUGGUUGUAUCCUGUUAUUUAGUUGAAGCAUGAUUUUAAGCAAGCUGAAAUCAAGCUGCCCGAACUGAUACAAUUAGUAAAUAAAUCAGCUCUCAAUUAAAGAGCUGUUGCUCUUGGUGUUUCCGAAUGUAAUGAACUACUGUCCAGCAUUUCACCCUCCAAAGACAAUUGGAGUAACAUCAGAACCGUUUUUAAAAUAGUUCGGAAUUUUUUCUCUGUCAAUUUUAUGCGAAGGAAUUUCAAAAUUACCUUUCAUUCUGUCACCCAAUGCCUAUCUUGAAGUAUCUUUGCAACUGUCAAGCUCCUCAAUUACAUUGUGUCAUUUUAAGUUCAAGUCGUAAUUUCGAUAAUUAAAGGGUAAUGAUAUUAAUGGUCUGCAAGGUAACAGUUUUCAAACCAACAUAAGUCUUUUCAUCGGGAUAAAGAGAAAUUAAUUGAUUUUUUUUUUUUCGGGGUCAGGAGAUAAAUAAGUAUUAUAUUCUUCACUUCUAUUUUGGAUUCUUACUCGAGCAUUUUGACUGUAAAACUAAACAGUGCAGGUGCAACUUUUUCAGCAUCAAUGCUAAAAGAUAAUAAAGUUAGGUAUCAUUUAAUGAUGAUUUGAAUUUUGUUUGUGACUUUGUCUUUCAACUAAAGAUUUAAAUAUGUCAAUGGCUAAAUAUUCAGCUUCUUGAAGUGAUACUUUAUGUCAUGUUAAAAUUUUUUUAAUGUAACCUUUCUAUCAAUAACUUUAUAGAUGAGAAGUUAUGUAGGAAACUUUCCCCCUUUUUAUCUCUCUCAGCCAUGCGUUUCAGGAAGACCAGUCGUUGACUUUGAAGUAUUACCAUAUCGACUCAUUGCGGCGACUGGUCUCUCUAUUUCUGUUUUCUAUUUUUCUUUUAUUUCUUUCCAUCUCUGAAUUGAGGCACUUUUGCUGUUGCAACAAUUAUUUUUUUGCUGAAUAGUGUAAGGAAUUGCUCUAAUUAAACUUUUUACCUUUAUUGGAAAAGAAAGUCCGUGGUCACAUUACAGCAGAUAGUGUGGGGAAGGGGUUUUACAAGAACUGUUUCUUUUUACAACAGAAGGAGAAACAAGAAGAAAUAUUCAAGAGAAAAAUAGGAAAGGAAAGAUAACCAAAAAUGAAAGAAUAAGGUAUGUUUCAUCAAGCAAUUUAUGUGAGUGCCAUCGUUUCCAAAGGACACGUUUCGCUGUUAUCUCUUACUUUGUUUCAUACAGUUUCCUAGGAUGAUCUGGGCUCCUUUUCCUGCAUUAUGCUUUCUGCCAAAGCAAAUGGUUCAUGAGUAUUUAAAUUCAAUAACACUGAAAAUAAUUGUUUUUACAGGGGAUGUGGGUUAUUAAAGCUCAAACAUUAUACAUCUACUGCAUUUGUAUGGUGCUAACUAUGAAUUAUUUUUAUUUCUUUUCGUCAUUGAAUAUGGAUAGUAAUUUUUUGAGA
rnacentral:lncRNA from 1 species